ACUACGGGUGGCUGCAGUGGGGGAUAUUGGACAAUGGGGGGAACCCUGAUCCAGCGACGCCGCGUGAGUGAAGAAGUAUUUCGGUAUGUAAAGCUCUUUCAGCAGGGAAGAAAGCAAUGACGGUACCUGACCAAGAAGCCCCGGCUAACUACGUGCCAGCAGCCGCGGUAAUACGUAGGGGGCAAGCGUUAUCCGGAAUUACUGGGUGUAAAGGGAGCGUAGACGGCUGUGCAAGUCUGGAGUGAAAGGCGGGGGCCCAACCCCCGGACUGCUCUGGAAACUGUAUGGCUGGAGUGCAGGAGAGGGAAGCGGAAUUCCUAGUGUAGAGGUGAAAUGCGUAGAGAUUAGGAGGAACACCAGUGGCGAAGGCGGCUUACUGGACUGUAACUGACGUUGAGGCUCGAAAGCGUGGGGAGCAAACAGGAUUAGAUACCCUAGUAGUC
rnacentral:rRNA from 1 species